GACGAACGCUGGCGGCGUGCUUAACACAUGCAAGUCGAACGGUAAGGCCCUUUCGGGGGCACACGAGUGGCGAACGGGUGAGUAACACGUGAGUAACCUGCCCCAGACUCUGGGAUAACAGCCGGAAACGGUUGCUAAUACAGGAUAUUCAGCUUCCUGCGCAUGUGGGUUGUUGGAAAGUUUUUGCGGUUUGGGAUGGGCUCGCGGUCUAUCAGCUUGUUGGUGGGGUAGUGGCUCACCAAGGCUUCGACGGGUAGCCGGCCAGAGAGGGUGACCGGCCACAUUGGGACUGAGAUACGGCCCAAACUCCUACGGGAGGCAGCAGUGGGGAAUAUUGCACAAUGGACGGAAGUCUGAUGCAGCAACGCCGCGUGCGGGAUGACGGCCUUCGGGUUGUAAACCGCUUUCAUCCAUGACGAAGCGAAAGUGACGGUAGUGGGAGAAGAAGCACCGGCUAACUACGUGCCAGCAGCCGCAGUAAUAC
rnacentral:rRNA from 1 species